GCACUGAGUCCCUGCUCUGUCCUGUCUGUCACCGCCAGACGUCAGACGCUGAUCUCCUGGGGGUCCGUACCAACAAAGACGCAGGCGUGUAGGGCAAUGACGGCAGGGACUGCCUGUGCUUCCGGCGGAGAAUCGUGCAGUUCCGGUAGGGAUACAGUGCAGUUCCGGUGAAGGCGCCGCAGUUCCGGUGGAAUGUCUUACAGGCAGAAAUCAACUCUGCCCAAGGAGGAGGUGAUGGCUCUGGAGAACAUUCUUUAUUGAUGGAACAGCCUCUUUUUCAUGUGCAAGAGUGACAUCCACCAAAGCAUUCAGCAGAAGCCCUUCUCUGGACCCUGAGUUAUAUCCUGUGGAAUCAUCUUUAAGAACAAGAGUGCUGAGUCCCCACUAGGACCUCUGAAGUCCAUUCUGGAGAGAGUCCAGAGUCUCUGGAGGAUCAGCACCCAGGAUACAAGACUGUGCAAGGGACCUGUGGCUUCAGGGCCAGAGGUGGGACAGCCCACCAUGGCUGCCUGCAGGCCAGAAAGCCAGGGGAGCAGGAGCUGUGCAGUCCAAGAAAGUGAGCUACAGAAGCAGAGGGUCCAGUGAUGCAGCCCUGGUCCCAGUGAAGGCCCAGAAGCACCCAGGCUUGUGCAUGGUCACAUUCAAAAGCCAAACCACCUGUUGUGUGAUGACGGGUGUGGUCAGGUCCCACUUGCUGUUCCUCAGGAGAUGAUCCUCCAAGAAACGUGUGCGCCGACAGCAUGUACCCAGCAAUCAUGCUCUGUUGUAAACAGCAAGGAGGAGUGAGUGAGCUCAAGGUGGCUGUCCUUCCCAUUAGCUUGCAAGAGCAAAGGGGGCUGAGGUGCAGGAAAGAGAAGGAGGAGUGUAUCAAAGCAGCACCUCCCAGACAGAACUUCACGAGCAGGAAUUCCUAAGCCUAAAAACACCGUGAUCCACCAUCCCUGCACUGGAAUCCCCAAGGAAGAUUUAGAAAGAUGGAUGUAGGCACCUCUCCCAUAGUUAAGUGUGUCCAGGGGCUAAUUGUAUCCUCUCGAGUUUUUUAAACGUGAAGUGAUGCUGAUGUAAAGUCAAGAUUGAGAACCACCUUGAUCUGGACUCAGCGAGCCUCUCCUGCAAGGAUCCCUCCCUGGAGUCCAGCCAGAGCUUGCAUUCACACUCGCUGGAAGGCCCCCCUCCGAUGUCACAGGCUCAUGUGAUAGAAGAGCUGCUGGGGACCUGCAAGGUCAGCUGGCUUCACCCUCUCUCAUGAGACAAGUGUGAUUCGACACAAAGAGCACUGGACUUGGGUCCCAAGACUGCACGCUCUUGCUGCUUGUUAAAUGAACUAUGGCUAGUCCUGCUGUUCCUGCCAAUCUCGUUUUCCUAAGUUAUGGAAUGUUUGGGAAGCUUAGUGACCAUUACCAGUACCUAUCUCAGCUCCAGGCCUGUGGCAGUGUUUAUAGGCCAGUACAUAUUGUUGUCUUUGUUUCUGUCUGUAGAAAUAAAGCACUGUACCUCUCAGAGGUGAGAUGAGUU